rnacentral:rRNA from 1 species
GACGAACGCUGGCGGCGUGCCUAAUACAUGCAAGUCGAGCGGACUUAAAAAGCUUGCUUUUUAAGUUAGCGGCGGACGGGUGAGUAACACGUGGGCAACCUGCCUGUAAGACUGGGAUAACUUCGGGAAACCGGAGCUAAUACCGGAUAAUCCUUUCCUACUCAUGUAGGAAAGCUGAAAGACGGUUUACGCUGUCACUUACAGAUGGGCCCGCGGCGCAUUAGCUAGUUGGUGAGGUAACGGCUCACUAAGGCGACGAUGCGUAGCCGACCUGAGAGGGUGAUCGGCCACACUGGGACUGAGACACGGCCCAGACUCCUACGGGAGGCAGCAGUAGGGAAUCUUCCGCAAUGGACGAAAGUCUGACGGAGCAACGCCGCGUGAGUGAUGAAGGUUUUCGGAUCGUAAAACUCUGUUGUUAGGGAAGAACAAGUACGAGAGUAACUGCUUGUACCUUGACGGUACCUAACCAGAAAGCCACGGCUAACUACGUGCCAGCCGCCGCAGUAAGAC